CACUGCCGAGAAAAGCCUCUAGAUAGAAAAUAGGUGCCCGUACCGCAAACCGACACAGGUAGUCAAGAUGAGAAUUCUAAGGUGAGCGAGCGAACUCUCGUUAAGGAACUCGGCAAAAUGACCCCGUAACUUCGGGAGAAGGGGUGCUCUUUAGGGUUAACGCCCAGAAGAGCCGCAGUGAAUAGGCCCAAGCGACUGUUUAUCAAAAACACAGGUCUCUGCUAAACCGUAAGGUGAUGUAUAGGGGCUGACGCCUGCCCGGUGCUGGAAGGUUAAGAGGAGUGGUUAGCUUCUGCGAAGCUACGAAUCGAAGCCCCAGUAAACGGCGGCCGUAACUAUAACGGUCCUAAGGUAGCGAAAUUCCUUGUCGGGUAAGUUCCGACCCGCACGAAAGGCGUAACGAUUUGGGCACUGUCUCAACGAGAGACUCGGUGAAAUCAUAGUACCUGUGAAGAUGCAGGUUACCCGCGACAGGACGGAAAGACCCCGUGGAGCUUUACUGUAGCCUGAUAUUGAAAUUCGGCACAGCUUGUACAGGAUAGGUAGGAGCCUUUGAAACGUGAGCGCUAGCUUACGUGGAGGCGCUGGUGGGAUACUACCCUAGCUGUGUUGGCUUUCUAACCCGCACCACUUAUCGUGGUGGGAGACAGUGUCAGGCGGGCAGUUUGACUGGGGCGGUCG
rnacentral:rRNA from 1 species